UCAUAUGAUAUUUUUUUCAGAAUUAUUUUCAUUAUUGUUAUAAGUCAGCUUGACUCUUUCAUUCAUACAGCUGAGAAAGAAGCAUAUGCUUCUGUCAUUCGUGCUUUCUUGUACAGAACCAACAAUUUCACUCAGGAUAAGUAAAAUGUGGUAAUUGGUCUUAUUGAAGAACUGAUGAUUACAGAGGAAGAGAAUGAACACAAAGAGCUUCUUCAAGAGGUUAACAAUGAUGCAAUACUCUACCACUCAAGCAAAUCACCCUCUCCAACAGUUCCAGCUUCACCAGAGAUACAAAUGGACUUUCAAGAUUCUUAAAUGGAUCAACCAUUGGCCGGGUUUUUAUCUUCAGUGAAGUCUGUGGAGGAUCAUUCUGUUCAAGUUGAACCUGCUAAAGCAGCAACUUUAGAUAUAUUGAUUGGGAAGAAACUUCGUAUUAAAUGGUCAGAGCUUGCCGAGAUUACUGAUUAUGACCCUGCCCGGUGAUAUAUUUAACUCGAAAUUUAUAGCUGUUAAAAUCCCUUUUCAGAUUGAUAUGUCUAAAUAUUUUCACAUGUAAAAAUCUUUUUUUUUUGGGGGGUUUCG